rnacentral:rRNA from 1 species
UACGGAGGGUGCAAGCGUUAAUCGGAAUUACUGGGCGUAAAGCGCACGUAGGCGGUUGAGUGAGUCAGAUGUGAAAUCCCCGGGCUUAACCCGGGAAUUGCAUCUGGUACUGCUUAGCUAGAGUCCUGUAGAGGGGGGUAGAAUUCCCUGUGUAGCGGUGAAAUGCGUAGAGAUGGGGAGGAAUACCAGUGGCGAAGGCGGCCCCCUGGACAAAGACUGACGCUCAGGUGCGAAAGCGUGGGGAGCAAACAGG